UCUUACAGCCGUAACGCCCUGAACCCGCCCAAUCUCGUCUGAUCUUGGAAGCUAAGCAUGGUCAGGCCUGGUUAGUACUUGAAUGGGAGACCACCUGGAAAUGCCAGGUGCCGUAAACU
rnacentral:rRNA from 1 species